rnacentral:sRNA from 1 species
UUAUGCAGAGAUCUCUGGCAACCCAAUAUUGCAGUCAACUUUGGCAUCCUUUUGCAGUCUGUGGGAGCUUCCAAGUUGAUCCAUGGCUAGAGACAACUCUGGUAGAGGACUUCGAGAGCCUAUCAUCGUUCCCUGGUGCCCCAUGUAAAACAAACAACAAAAAACACCUAUAGGUGCUGGGGACACAGAGUCUGUGACUUGGGUUUGAUCUCCAGGAGCCAUGUAAAAAAAGCCAAGUGUGACCGUGCAUGCUUGUCAUCCCAGCACCAGGGAGACAAAGACAGAAUGAAAUGCUUUCCACACAAAGAAGCCGAUGCUUUCAAAUAAGGACUUUAAAUACUCUAGCCAUGGAAGCGAUCACCACCGGUUAACUUAAAAUUGGGAAGUGCCGUGUUUGGUCACUUGUCCUUGAAUGGUCAUAGCCAAUGAAACAUGGAGAAAAGAAUCUCUGUCUUCAUACUAAUGGUAUUUCAUUCAUAAAAUGCAAUUGUGCCCUGCUGUUUAACUGAGUGGUUCCAGGGCUGUGACAGCAGACAGUCAGCUGGUUGGAUUCCUAUAUAAACACAAUGACAUGCUGAGGGUAGCGCUCGCUUUUCCUAAUUAAAGCAAAUUAGAAGCCCCACCCCGUUUCUGCAGUGAGUUCUGACAGCAGCAUGU